GUGCUUAAUAAGAAAAUUGCAUAUAUUUAGUAAAAAAAUAACAUAAUUAUAUUGAAAAAAUAUACUUUAAUAAUGAUUAUAUAAUUUGUUAAUAAUAACAAAACAUUAAUUGCACGGAUAUAACAACUACUUGUAAGAAAAUUAAAUCGGAUAAUAAUUCAAAUAUAUUAUUCACAAACCAUUUAUGGCUUGUUUAACAUUAUCUGUUGACACCAAUUUCAAGGCACUAAUAAUUCCAUUCAAAUUUUUUUCAUUGUAUGGUUUAUUUUGCAACUGGGACACAACAGGAACACGUUCUCCGCUAGGCAUU